rnacentral:rRNA from 1 species
GGGACCUAAGGUGAGGGCGAGAGCCGUAGCCGAUGGACAACAGGUCGAUAUUCCUGUACUGCAGUAUGACAGAACUGUGGGGACACGUAAGGAGAGCGGGAGCCGGGAAUGGAAAGCCCGGUACAAGCGAGGUACCAGUAUGGUAGGAAAAUCCGCCAUGCAAUGGGAAGACGUGAUGUGGAGUGAAUUUUAGUAACGAAGCCCGAGAGCCAUGCGUCAAGAAAAGCCGCUAUCGUUCAUAUUGUACCCGUACCGUAAACCGACACAGGUGGAUGAGGAGAGAAUCCUAAGGCCGGCGGAAGAAGUAUUGCCAAGGAACUCGGCAAAAUGGCCCCGUAACUUAGGGAGAAGGGGUGCCUGCGAGAGCAGGCCGCAGAGAAUAGGCUCAAGCAACUGUUUAGCAAAAACACAGGUCUAUGCGAAACCGAAAGGUGAGGUAUAUGGGCUGACGCCUGCCCGGUGCUGGAAGGUUAAGAGGAGAGGUUAGACGUAAGUCGAAGCUUUGAAUUUAAGCCCCAGUAAACGGCGGCCGUAACUAUAACGGUCCUAAGGUAGCGAAAUUCCUUGUCGGGUAAGUUCCGACCCGCACGAAAGGCGUAAUGAUUUGAGCGCUGUCUCGGCAAUACAUCCGGUGAAAUUGAAGUGCCAGUGAAGAUGCUGGCUACCCGCGCCAGGACGGAAAGACCCCAUGGAGCUUUACUCCAGUUUGGCACUGGGGUCCGGUGUUGCAUGUACAGGAUAGGUGGGAGGCUGAGAAACGGUAACGUCAGUUGCCGUGGAGCCGCUGUUGGGAUACCACCCUUGUGAUAUUGGGCUUCUAACCAGCCGCCGUGAUCCGGCGGUGGGACAAUGCCAGGCGGGGAGUUUGACUGGGGCGGUCGCCUCCGAAAGGGUAUCGGAGGCGCCCAAAGGUUCCCUCAGAAUGGACGGAAACCAUUCGAAGAGUGCAAAGGCAGAAGGGAGCUUGACUGCGACACCGACGGGUGGAGCAGGUACGAAAGUAGGGCUUAGUGAUCCGGUGGUAUUAAGUGGGAAUGCCAUCGCUCAACGGAUAAAAGCUACCCUUAGGAUAACGGGCUUAUCACUCCCAAGAGUUCACAUCGACGGAGUGGUUUGGCACCUCGAUGUCGGCUCAUCGCAUCCUGGGGCUGUAGUAGGUCCCAAGGGUUGGGCUGUUCGCCCAUUAAAGCGGUACGCGAGCUGGGUUCAGAACGUCGUGAGACAGUUCGGUCCCUAUCCGGCGUGGGCGUAGGAUAUCUGAGAGGAGCUGUCCUUAGUACGAGAGGACCGGGAUGGACGGACCGCUGGUGGACCGGUUGGCUUGCCAAAGCCAUGGCCGGGUAGCCAAGUCCGGAAGGGAUAAACGCUGAAGGCAUCUAAGCGUGAAGCCCCCCUCAAGAUGAGAUAUCCCAUUCUUAUGAAGUAAACCCCCUUGAAGACGACGAGGUAGAUAGGGCAGAGGUGGAAGUGUGGUAACACAUGGAGCUGACUGUUACUAAUCGGGUGAGGGCUUGAC